UCCAUGGUAUCUUAGUGGACAUGGCAUCUGCCCGGUAAAUAGAACACUGUGAGUUCGAUUCCCAUCCGUGGAC
rnacentral:tRNA from 1 species